rnacentral:rRNA from 1 species
AAAUUGAAGAGUUUGAUCAUGGCUCAGAUUGAACGCUGGCGGCAGGCCUAACACAUGCAAGUCGAGCGGUAGCACAGAGAGCUUGCUCUCGGGUGACGAGCGGCGGACGGGUGAGUAAUGUCUGGGAAACUGCCUGAUGGAGGGGGAUAACUACUGGAAACGGUGGCUAA